CACUAUGCCCGGCACAUUAUUCGGCACAGCACCGCACAUCUGGGCACCCUUCCAAUUAUUUCUUUUUUUCUUCUUUUUCUGCACACGAUUAGAUUUGACAGCUGAAAUUUUGUUGUUGGUUGUUCGGUUCAAGUUUGUUUGUUUUGAAGAAAUUAAUACUGCCGUCGAGAAAAAGAUAUUCAACGCAACUGGCUUCCUGUUUCCAAACAUCUUCUAUGUGCACAAACGGUUCAGAUUUAUUAGCACUUUAUCAAACUAUGAAACAUCAUCGAAUUCCUAUCGAAGAUUCCGAACGAGCUUCCCGAAUUGGUCAAUCCCCUGCUCUACCAUCUGUAUAUCGAUAAAUUGAAGAGACCGCCAAGGGGACCAUGAUUGACAAACAACGAUCGCGUUCCUCCGCAAGCAUGCCACUUCUCUGAAAAAGAUUGGCCCUAGUAGGUCUCCGCUGAUGAUGAACCAAAAGAUUGAAAGAGACAGACAGAGGGACAACAGGCAUGCGGUAUAUCCAUCGGAA